rnacentral:tRNA from 1 species
UGGCUCAGUUGGUAGAGCAUGGUGUUUGCAACGCCAGGGUUGUGGGUUCAAUACCCAC